AUUGAACGCUGGCGGCAUGCUUUACACAUGCAAGUCGAACGGUAACAGGCCGCAAGGUGCUGACGAGUGGCGAACGGGUGAGUAAUGCAUCGGAACGUGCCCAGUCGUGGGGGAUAACGCAGCGAAAGUUGCGCUAAUACCGCAUACGAUCUAUGGAUGAAAGCGGGGGACCGUAAGGCCUCGCGCGAUUGGAGCGGCCGAUGUCAGAUUAGGUAGUUGGUGGGGUAAAGGCUCACCAAGCCGACGAUCUGUAGCUGGUCUGAGAGGACGACCAGCCACGCUGGGGCUGAGACACGGCCCAGACUCCUACGGGAGACAGCAGUGGGGAAUUUUGGACAAUGGGCGCAAGCCUGAUCCAGCAAUGCCGCGUGCAGGAAGAAGGCCUUCGGGUUGUAAACUGCUUUUGUACGGAACGAAACGGUCCUGGUUAAUACCCGGGGCUAAUGACGGUACCGUAAGAAUAAGCACCGGCUAACUACGUGCCAGCCGCCGCGGUAA
rnacentral:rRNA from 1 species